rnacentral:rRNA from 1 species
UGUUUCGGCUAGGGGGCCAUCCCGGCUUACCAACCCGAUGCAAACUGCGAAUACCGGAGAAUGUUAUCACGGGAGACACACGGCGGGUGCUAACGUCCGUCGUGAAGAGGGAAACAACCCAGACCGCCAGCUAAGGUCCCAAAGUCAUGGUUAAGUGGGAAACGAUGUGGGAAGGCCCAGACAGCCAGGAUGUUGGCUUAGAAGCAGCCAUCAUUUAAAGAAAGCGUAAUAGCUCACUGGUCGAGUCGGCCUGCGCGGAAGAUGUAACGGGGCUAAACCAUGCACCGAAGCUGCGGCAGCGACACUUUAGUGUUGUUGGGUAGGGGAGCGUUCUGUAAGCCGUUGAAGGUGUCCUGUGAGGGGUGCUGGAGGUAUCAGAAGUGCGAAUGCUGACAUAAGUAACGAUAAAGCGGGUGAAAAGCCCGCUCGCCGGAAGACCAAGGGUUCCUGUCCAACGUUAAUCGGGGCAGGGUGAGUCGACCCCUAAGGCGAGGCCGAAAGGCGUAGUCGAUGGGAAACGGGUUAAUAUUCCCGUACUUGGUGUUACUGCGAAGGGGGGACGGAGAAGGCUAUGUUGGCCGGGCGACGGUAGUCCCGGUUUAAGCGUGUAGGUGUGUGUUCCAGGUAAAUCCGGUUCACUUUAACACUGAGGCGUGAUGACGAGGCACCACGGUGCUGAAGCAACAAAUGCCCUGCUUCCAGGAAAAGCCUCUAAGCAUCAGGUAACAUCAAAUCGUACCCCAAACCGACACAGGUGGUCAGGUAGAGAAUACCAAGGCGCUUGAGAGAACUCGGGUGAAGGAACUAGGCAAAAUGGUGCCGUAACUUCGGGAGAAGGCACGCUGACACGUAGGUGAAGUGAUUUACUCAUGGAGCUGAAGUCAGUCGAAGAUACCAGCUGGCUGCAACUGUUUAUUAAAAACACAGCACUGUGCAAACACGAAAGUGGACGUAUACGGUGUGACGCCUGCCCGGUGCCGGAAGGUUAAUUGAUGGGGUCAGCGCAAGCGAAGCUCCUGAUCGAAGCCCCGGUAAACGGCGGCCGUAACUAUAACGGUCCUAAGGUAGCGAAAUUCCUUGUCGGGUAAGUUCCGACCUGCACGAAUGGCGUAAUGAUGGCCAGGCUGUCUCCACCCGAGACUCAGUGAAAUUGAACUCGCUGUGAAGAUGCAGUGUACCCGCGGCAAGACGGAAAGACCCCGUGAACCUUUACUAUAGCUUGACACUGAACAUUGAGCCUUGAUGUGUAGGAUAGGUGGGAGGCUUUGAAGCGUGGACGCCAGUCUGCGUGGAGCCGACCUUGAAAUACCACCCUUUAAUGUUUGAUGUUCUAACGUGGACCCGUAAUCCGGGUUGCGGACAGUGUCUGGUGGGUAGUUUGACUGGGGCGGUCUCCUCCUAAAGAGUAACGGAGGAGCACGAAGGUUGGCUAAUCCUGGUCGGACAUCAGGAGGUUAGUGCAAUGGCAUAAGCCAGCUUGACUGCGAGCGUGACGGCGCGAGCAGGUGCGAAAGCAGGUCAUAGUGAUCCGGUGGUUCUGAAUGGAAGGGCCAUCGCUCAACGGAUAAAAGGUACUCCGGGGAUAACAGGCUGAUACCGCCCAAGAGUUCAUAUCGACGGCGGUGUUUGGCACCUCGAUGUCGGCUCAUCACAUCCUGGGGCUGAAGUAGGUCCCAAGGGUAUGGCUGUUCGCCAUUUAAAGUGGUACGCGAGCUGGGUUUAGAACGUCGUGAGACAGUUCGGUCCCUAUCUGCCGUGGGCGCUGGAAGACUGAGGGGGGCUGCUCCUAGUACGAGAGGACCGGAGUGGACGCAUCACUGGUGUUCGGGUUGUCAUGCCAAUGGCACUGCCCGGUAGCUAAAUGCGGAAAAGAUAAGUGCUGAAAGCAUCUAAGCACGAAACUUGCCCCGAGAUGAGUCUUCCCUGAGACUUUGAGUCUCCUGAAGGAACGUUAAAGACGAUGACGUUGAUAGGCCGGGUGUGUAAGCGCAGCGAUGCGUUGAGCUAACCGGUACUAAUGAACCGUGAGGCUUAACCUUACAACGCCGAAGCUGUU